AUGAGUCAGGCGAGCAGAUUCAAGCGGAUGUGCGUCUUCUGCGGCAGCAGCCAGGGCAACAAGAGCAGCUACCACGACGCCGCCAUCGACCUCGCCAACCAGCUCGUGGGUGGGGGCAUCGACCUGGUCUACGGCGGCGGCAGCAUCGGGCUGAUGGGGCUCGUCUCCCAGGCCGUCUACCACGGCGGCAGGCACGUCAUCGGGUAA
rnacentral:rRNA from 1 species